rnacentral:rRNA from 1 species
GAACGGUAUUGAGCUUCGGCUCAGUAUAGUGGCAAACGGGUGCGUAACGCGUAAGCAACCUGCCCCUGCUUGGGGGAUAGCCCGGCGAAAGCGGGGGUAAACCCGCACGGUCCAGAUGAAUCACCUGGUUUUACUGGUAAACAUUCAUGGAGCAGGGAGGGGCUUGCGUCUGAUUAGGUAGUUGGCGGGGUAAGGGCCCACCAAGCCGAUGAUCAGUAGGGGUUCUGAGAGGAUUGGCCCCCACAUGGGUACUGAGAUACGGACCCAACUCCUACGGGAGGCAGCAGUAGGGAAUAUUGGGCAAUGGGCGAAAGCCUGACCCAGCCAUGCCGCGUGAAGGAUGACGGCGCUCAGCGUUGUAAACUUCUUUUACCGAGGAAGAACGUACUCAAUGCGUAGGGUAGUGACGGUACUCGGGGAAUCAGCACCGGCUAACUCCGUG